rnacentral:rRNA from 1 species
UACAGAGGUGGCAAGCGUUGUUCGGAAUUACUGGGCGUAAAGGGCGCGUAGGCGGCUUGGUCAGUCCCGUGUGAAAUCCCUCGGCUCAACUGAGGAACUGCACGGGAAACUGCCUGGCUUGAGUUCGGGAGAGGGAAGCGGAAUUCCGGGUGUAGCGGUGAAAUGCGUAGAUAUCCGGAGGAACACCGGUGGCGAAGGCGGCUUCCUGGACCGACACUGACGCUGAGGCGCGAAAGCUAGGGGAGCAAACGGGAUUAGAUACCCCGGUAGUCCUAGCUGUAAACGAUGAGUGCUGGGUGUAGGGGGUAUCAACCCCUCCUGUGCCGAAGCUAACGCAUUAAGCACUCCGCCUGGGGAGUACGGUCGCAAGGCUGAA